GAAAUUCUCAAUCUUAUUAAUAAUAAUAAUUGUGAUAAUCUUAAUCCACGAUGCAUCAGUAAUAAUAAUUGAUUCAGUAACAUGACAAGCAAUGUUAGUUUUUUCUCACUGUUUUCAUAUCCAUCGGUUUCUCAUUGAAUAUUCUUGGAUGUAUUUUGGAUUGAGCCAUAACAAUUGGAUUGUCAACCUCAAUGAGCAUUUCAAAUGAUAAGCUCAACUAAAUGGUUAUCAAUUUUGAUCAAUUGGUAAAAAGCAGUCGGAUAAAAAACGAUUAUGAACAGUUAAGUCUUUCUCUGGAGGAUAAAAAGGCAAAAGUUAAGCUUAACUUAAGGCAAACUGGAGAGAUAUUAAACUAUCUGGAAACCAUUUUCAGAAACAAACCUUUUCUCAAGACCGUGCAGCUGAUGAUCUGAAAACACCGUUCUGGCUUUCCUCCGCCGAUGAGAGGCAACAUGAGUUGCUGCUUCCGAGGCAGCUCUCUGCAUAUGAUGCAGUAUUAAAUCAUGAUGGUGACUUUAUGAUAAACAAUUUUAGAUCAAGAUUCAGGAUUUUAGGAUCAUUAAUGGAUAAAAGAUUAAAAGAUUGACAAAAAUUUGGAUCGAGACUUACCUUGCUGAAUAGGCUGCAAAAGAGGGAUGAAGUAAAGCAGCAGCGGCAGCGGCAGCAGCUAAACUUGAUGGAUCAUUUGAAUUGUUUGAUAAAAUUGUUUGAUUGUUACCAUUGAUUGGAUGGAAUGAGCAAUGAUAACCAUUGGAUGAAUAAGAAUUCAAUGGAUUUCCAGUUGAAGGAGAAUGAUGGUGAUGAUAAUAUGAAUCCCUGAUUUCUUUGAUAUCCUGACUUGUUUCCAAUGUUUUCCUUUGAUCAAACACAAAUCACGAAAACAAAAGAAGAAAGAAACAUUUAAAUUAAUUCAUUUCUGCAAAUCAAACUGGAAUUGUUGGACAAAAAGCAAAGAUUGGAAAAAUUAUUUAAAGAAAAAUCUAAUUACUCAGAAAGAAUAUCCUUAAUGAAGAAAGACGAGUUUGGAGCCACAAUCAAAGAGUUUGAACAAUUAUCACCUAAUUUAGACAUAAUUGGAUCCAUGAUGCACAUCAAUUGAACUUUAUUUUUGUCAAUCAUAUGUUGGUUAACAAAGCAUAAAAAACUUGAAGACGUAACGAGUCAAUCAAGUGCAAACUAUUAGUUCAACCUGAAUCGCAAUCAAUAAUGCAAGUUGGAUAUGAGAAACAUUUUUAUCAACAUUAACAUCACCUCCCAGUUAUCAUCAUCAUCAUUUCAUUUUUUUCACUCCCUGAAUCCAAUUUCCACUCUCUUGUUUACCUGUUAUUUAAACUCAUGGUCUUUGUCCAAAAGAAGAAGAAGGAAGAAGAUAGAGAAAGAAAGAGAAGCCAAAAGAGCAAAUACUUUUACUAUUGCGAUUAUUAUUAUCAUCUUUCAGCAUCCAUGUUACCUUAGUAACCUUUAGCAUCUUUAGCAUCUUCACGCCCAUAGCCUUGUAUUUGAUAUUUUUACUGGUUUAUCAUUUAUCAAGCUCCACCUUGGCUCUUUCUUGUUCCUCUUUCUUUCUCCUUUUCUCCUCAUCUUCACCUCAUCAUUUUCAUCAUCCAACAUCUCACUCUCUAUACAAUAACAUGCUGAUUAAAAUAACAUCAGCUUUGUUUUGUUUUUUUCCUAUUAUUAACUCACUUCUUUUUGUAAAGUUUGUCUCUUUUUUUACUUUAAUUCACUUAAGACUUUUGGAUGAUGAUGAAAACGAUGAGAAUGAUGAUGAUAAUGUUACACGUUAAUGAGCUGAAUGUAUAGUGUUAACAAGUAUUAGUAAUGAAAUUGAAUGUAAAAGUGUAACAAUUGUCAUUCAAUUUGAUUCACUUUUCUUACAACCUUUACCUUUCAUUUUACAAGUUUGAUUGUUUGCUUGUUAACUAUUGAUUGUUGUGUUUUGAUCGAUCAUCAAUGUAAUUGAGUGAACCAAAUGAAUUGCGUCUUCUAAUCAACCUGAUACUUGCCAUUUCCACGAGUCAAUUUGAAGUUUCACCUCGUCAGCUUGAAGUAUUCAUGUUGAUUCAAUUGAUGAUUAA